UACCCUACUGAUGCCCGCGU
rnacentral:sRNA from 1 species